rnacentral:lncRNA from 1 species
UUGCUGUUCUGAACGGUGACUUUAUUAAACACAUUUGCAUAUGCUAAUAAUCUAUAUAUAAAACAAAAACAUGUCUGACUGUUGCGACUCUCUGUCAAGAGCAUUAUUAUUUUAGACACUAAAUCUGGGCCUUAUUGGCCGUCAGAUACACAACAAUCUCCAGCCAGAGGCACAGCGGUUUCUCUUCCACGUUUACAUCGACACAGUUUAUUCAAGAUGAAUUAGUGACGUACAGAAGAGCAGCUGAACGUGACGGUCAAUACAGAUCCCUUUGCAGCAGCUGCAGACUGUAAACAAUCACUCUAGUAGUUGCACAUCUACACAAACAAACAAGCAGCUCAUCACAUAUUAGUGGUUAACAUCCGUCAAGACAGACGACAAACAUUUGAAUGUAGUGGAUUAAAGAUUAAAAAACAUUAAAGACGUCACUUUGAAAUCAUACUGACCAUCUCUUUUCUGUUUUGGGUCGCUUCUGAACAUUUUAACAGUAGAUAUAUGCAGGUUUUGCAUGCAAACGACAUGAUCAGAAGGUUCCGGUUCACACAGAUGCAUAAAAAACACUGCGUCACAGGUCAGUAGUGAUGUCACUUUGUAAUGAAGCACAUGAUACACGUGCAUCAUGUCACUGUUUUUAACAGAAUCAUGUUUCUGUCAUAUAUAUUGAGACAGCAACAGCACAUUUUCAUGCUCUCAAUAAAGCAACUAAGAUUUGAAGUUUUUAGAUGAAAACCGUGGCGUAAAG